rnacentral:rRNA from 1 species
AUACGGAGGGUGCAAGCGUUACUCGGAAUCACUGGGCGUAAAGCGCGCGCAGGCGGCUAUUUAAGUUGGAUGUGAAAGCCUACGGCUCAACCGUAGAACUGCAUCCAAAACUAUUUAGCUAGAGUGUGGGAGAGGAAGAUGGAAUUAGUUGUGUAGGGGUAAAAUCCGUAGAGAUAACUAGGAAUACCAAAAGCGAAGGCAAUCUUCUGGAACACUACUGACGCUGAGGCGCGAAGGCGUGGGGAGCAAACAGUAUUAGAAACCCCAGUAGUCC